rnacentral:rRNA from 1 species
UAUGUGAUCGUCUCUCGCAUAUCAAUAAGCGGAGGAAAAGAAACUAACAAGGAUUCCCCUAGUAACGGCGAGUGAAGCGGGAAGAGCUCAAAUUUGAAAUCUUAAGGGGUUUCCCUUUACGAAUUGUAGUUUAAAGAAGUGUUUUCUGUUGAGGUUUUGGUAAAAGUUCUUUGGAAUAGGACAUCAUAGAGGGUGAGAAUCCCGUAUUUGACCUUUACUUUCAACUUUGUGAUACACUUUCAAAGAGUCGGAUUGUUUGGGAAUGCAGUCCAAAAUGGGUGGUAAAUUUCAUCUAAAGCUAAAUAUUGGCGAGAGACCGAUAGCGAACAAGUACCGUGAGGGAAAGAUGAAAAGAACUUUGAAAAGAGAGUUAAACAGUACGUGAAAUUGUCAAAAGGGAAGCGUUUGACACCAGUGUUGUUUUUCUGAAAAUCAAUUAAAGAACUGUUUAUGCUAAGCUUGUUUAGACUUUAUCAGCUAAUCUGUUUAGUUUUGAGCUUUUCUUUAAUGCACUUUUCAGUUAACAAGUCAACAUCAAUUUCUUUUGCUGUAAAAAAGCUUGAGGAAGGUGGCUUGAGAUUCGUCUUAAGUGUUUAUAGCCUCUUGCCUAUGCAGUCGGAGAGAUUGAGGUCUGCAGCGUAGAUCCUUCGGGGCUAAAUGCAUUUGUGCUAAGUUAUAGCAUUUUAUAGACAACUUGUUGACUAUGAUUUGUCUUGUAGCUUACUCGCUUAUGUUAUUUUACCUACGCUUAGGAUGUUGAGUAGCGACAUACGCAC